AGUUCCAGAGGGAGGAAUGCUGCGACCAAAAGACACAACAAUCCAUUAUACUGGAAGUUAAGAUUUCCACCUGGACACUUUGGGCUUCUCCUCCCUUUCAGUCAACAGGCUAAGGACGGAAUUACAGUGUUGGCUGGGGUGAUUGACCAGGACUACCAUAAUGAAAUUAGUCUACUACUCCACAAUGGAGCUGACUGAUGAAUAAGAAAAGACUGAAAGGAAAAGGAACUGUGACCUGCCUCAUCUUUCUCCUUCCUCCUAUGUCAUCAUUUUCAGCACAAGUAAUUGGCAAAUACAGGGAAGUAACACAAAUAAAAAAGGAUAGGUAGAA